UUCAAGUGAUUUUCCUGCCUCAGCCUCCUAAGUAGCUGGGAUUACAGACUGAAUGCAUCCAGCUCCCAGAUGAAGAAAUGAAACAUUCCCAAGUCCUCGGAACCCCUGCUUGCUUCCUCCAGCCUCCGCUGGCCCCGAGGGUCACUGCUACCCUGACUGACACCAUGGAUUUGCUGGAUCUGUUUGUGCUUCAGGUUCAAGGACUCCUACAGCCAAGGCUUGUUUGGGGGCUCAGAGCUGAUUUGCAGCCCAUCUUGAUGUGCCUCAUGGCUACUGAUCUCAUCCCUGCAUUCUUCUCCUCCUGCUUCCACCAGCUUUAUUAAGGCUCACUGUUCUGAGGUCAUUCUGAGGAUUUCUUCUGGGCUUGCAUAGCUGGGACUUCCUGUACCACCAGUUCAAUUCUGCCUAGAGCUGAGGACCAUGCCAGAUAAGCAAGUCCCACAACCAGCCACUGCUCAGGACAGGAUGCUGAAAGUGAUGCUGGGCGGCCAGCCAGACUCUGGAUCCCUAGGGCUCUGCCAGAGGUAGUGGAGGUCAAGUUUCCCCAAGGCCUCCAGCAUCUCCGGACAUCUCCCUUACACACUCCUCAAGAAGUCUCCCUGGCUGCUCCAGCUGUCUGACCUCUGUUGGCCCGUCUCCUCCAGGGUUCUCUCUUUGCCUGCUGCAGGUCUGCCUCAUCUGAGACCCUUCUCACCGGCCGGGAAUGACCCCGUACCUACUCUCUGGCCUCCUCUGGGGGCCUUGCUCUUGGCGCUGGAUCCCUGUGCUCUGUCCCCUGACCUUGGAGGAAUUGCCCUCCUGCGUGUAUGGAAUGACCACAGGCCUCCCUCUCACUCUUGCUGCCCUCCGCUCCUCACACCUGCCCUGUGGCCUCAAGUUCAGGAUUCAGUUUGUUGCCCAGGACAGAGUCUGGUUUUUCUCCAGAAAUUAGAUGCAGAAUCAGGCCUAACCAGCUUCUCAAACUCACAGACUUGGUCAGCAAACAUUCCCAAGCCUCAAAGGCUGAGACCCCUGGAGGAACGAUGCCAGCAGAGACAAAACGACAUUGAGAGGUAAGUCAAUUAAAAUGUUAAAAAACAUCAGAUUAGGCUGAGCGCAGUGGCUCGUGUGUGUAAUUCCAGCACUUUG
rnacentral:lncRNA from 1 species